CGAUAUGAUGAAAUGGCACUGGGCUCCGAAUUUUAAACCACAUGAGUCGAUACGCCAAUUUGUGGCAGGCCUAGAAAACCUCGCCCACUGAUC
rfam:Rosellinia necatrix DNA, scaffold: Contig25, strain: W97.